CGGCGGACGGGUGAGUAACGCGUGGGUAACCUGCCUCAUACAGGGGGAUAACAGUUAGAAAUGACUGCUAAUACCGCAUAAGACCACGGUACCGCAUGGUACAGUGGUAAAAACUCCGGUGGCAUGAGAUGGACCCGCGUCUGAUUAGGUAGUUGGUGGGGUAACGGCCUACCAAGCCGACGAUCAGUAGCCGACCUGAGAGGGUGACCGGCCACAUUGGGACUGGGACACGGCCCAA
rnacentral:rRNA from 1 species